CGGCGGACGGGUGAGUAACACGUGGAUAACCUACCUAUAAGACUGGGAUAACUUCGGGAAACCGGAGCUAAUACCGGAUAAUAUAUUGAACCGCAUGGUUCAAUAGUGAAAGACGGUUUUGCUGUCACUUAUAGAUGGAUCCGCGCUGCAUUAGCUAGUUGGUAAGGUAACGGCUUACCAAGGCAACGAUGCGUAGCCGACCUGAGAGGGUGAUCGGCCACACUGGAACUGAGACACGGUCCAGACUCCUACGGGAGGCAGCAGGU
rnacentral:rRNA from 1 species